rnacentral:lncRNA from 1 species
AUUAUGAGAGCACGCCCAACAACUUUAACUGGGAUGCGUAGCGGCCUCGAUGAUCGAUCGAAGGAAACGAAUCAAUUCAUGAAGAUUUGGGUUCGUUAGCCUUAAAGCACAGCGAAUCGUCGUUAGGAGCCCGAUUGCAAGUGACUACAAGCAAUCGGAGAGCGUUUCGAGGUAGGUUGUGCUCUACCGAAGUGAUUAGGUCACUUCCAUGCCAAAGUGAAGUAUGUUUCAUUAUUGAUACAUAAAGUGGUAGUUAAUUGUCAAGUGAAUGAAUGCAUGAGACAUAUACUAAAAAAUAUAAGCUAGAUGCUAAAUAACAUGAGCUAGAUGCAUGAGUUAAAUGCUAAAGUGAAUGCAUAAGUUAGAUUCUAAUUGUAAAUGCAUAAGAUAUAUGUUAAGAGAAUGUAUGAGUUAAAUACUAAAUUAACUACCACUUUAUGUUUCUAAUUGUAAAUGCAUAAGAUAUAUGUUAAGAGAAUGUAUGAGUUAAAUACUAAAUUAAUGCAUGUUAUAGAUGCUAAAUAAUGUAUGUGAUAUGUGCCAAGUAAUGAACACAAGUAAUGGUAGUCCAUAUUAUA